CCUUUUUAUUGUAUCCAGGACGUCAGCUGAUUGGAAGAUGCCUGCUCCUAUUGGGAUCUCACUAUGUUACUUAGGCUGGUCUCGAACUCGUGGCUUCAAAUGAUCUUCCCAUCUCAAUCUCCCACAGUGCUGUGACUACAGGUGUGAGUCACUGUGCCAGGCCCAACCUGAAACCUUGACUGCAACCCACCUCAGAGACUGCGACACACUGGCUAUGCCCCAAGUCAGAUGUGGAGAGGGCAGCUUUUCUCAUCCGGCUUGCCAGACUCUACUAAAUUGAACACAGACAGAAGGAAAAGAAAGGCAUAUUCUGGGAGCUCAGAGUCUUUUGUUACACAUGUCUCAAAGGGUACUAAUACAUCUCCAGUAGCUGUGAGUAUGCCAUGAAAGGUCUCUAAUAAAAAUUACUUUUUGAAAUAA
rnacentral:lncRNA from 1 species